AGAGAGAGACAUGCGCGCAUAUCAAUAAGCGGAGGAAAAGCAACUAACUAGGAUUCCCUCAGUGAACGGCGAGUGGAGCGGGAAGAGCUCAUAUUUGAAAUCUUCAAGGUUCUACCUUGACGAAUUGUAGUUUAAAGAAGUGUUUUCUGUUGGAGUUUUGGUAAAAGUUCUUUGGAAUAGGACAUCAUAGAGGGUGAGAAUCCCGUAUUUGACCAUUAUUUCCAGCUUUGUGAUACACUUUCAAAGAGUCGGAUUGUUUGGGAAUGCAGUCCAAAAUGGGUGGUAAAUUUCAUCUAAAGCUAAAUACUGGCGAGAGACCGAUAGCGAACAAGUACCGUGAGGGAAAGAUGAAAAGAACUUUGAAAAGAGAGUUAAACAGUACGUGAAAUUGUCAAAAGGGAAGCGUUUGACACCAGUGUUGUUUUCUCGAAAAUCAAUUAAAAAGAGUUAGAUUUUGUUGUGUAUUGACCUUAACAGCUUGCAUUUCAAUUUUCUUGCUUUUUUUAAUGCACUUUUCGUUUAACAAGUCAACAUCAGUUUCUUUUGUUGUAAAAAGGUCAUUGGAAGGUGGCUUUCUUUUCGGAGAAAGUGUUUAUAGCCUUUGACUCCUGCAAUCGGAGAGACUGAGGUCUGCAGCGUAGAUCCUUCGGGGUUAGAUACAUUUGUGCUAAGUUAUAGCUUUUUAUAGACAACUUGUUGACUAUGAUCAGUCAUGUAGCUUACUCGCUUAUGCUAUUUUACCUACGCUUAGGAUGUUGAUGUGAUACUGCGAGCA
rnacentral:rRNA from 1 species